GAUGAACGCUGGCGGCGUGCCUAAUACAUGCAAGUCGAGCGAACAGAUGAGGAGCUUGCUCCUCUGACGUUAGCGGCGGACGGGUGAGUAACACGUGGAUAACCUACCUAUAAGACUGGGAUAACUUCGGGAAACCGGAGCUAAUACCGGAUAAUAUAUUGAACCGCAUGGUUCAAUAGUGAAAGACGGUUUUGCUGUCACUUAUAGAUGGAUCCGCGCCGCAUUAGCUAGUUGGUAAGGUAACGGCUUACCAAGGCAACGAUGCGUAGCCGACCUGAGAGGGUGAUCGGCCACACUGGAACUGAGACACGGUCCAGACUCCUACGGGAGGCAGCAGUAGGGAAUCUUCCGCAAUGGGCGAAAGCCUGACGGAGCACCGCCGCGUGAGUGAUGAAGGUCUUCGGAUCGUAAAACUCUGUCAUUAGGGAAGAACAAAUGUGUAAGUAACUAUGCAGGUCUUGACGGUACCUAAUCAGAAAGCCACGGCUAACUACGUG
rnacentral:rRNA from 1 species